CAGAUAAGGAGCUUGCUCCUUUGACGUUAGCGGCGGACGGGUGAGUAACACGUGGGUAACCUACCUAUAAGACUGGAAUAACUCCGGGAAACCGGGGCUAAUGCCGGAUAACAUUUAGAACCGCAUGGUUCUAAAGUGAAAGAUGGUUUUGCUAUCACUUAUAGAUGGACCCGCGCCGUAUUAGCUAGUUGGUAAGGUAACGGCUUACCAAGGCAACGAUACGUAGCCGACCUGAGAGGGUGAUCGGCCACACUGGAACUGAGACACGGUCCAGACUCCUACGGGAGGCAGCAGUAGGGAAUCUUCCGCAAUGGGCGAAAGCCUGACGGAGCAACGCCGCGUGAGUGAUGAAGGUCUUCGGAUCGUAAAACUCUGUUAUUAGGGAAGAACAAAUGUGUAAGUAACUAUGCACGUCUUGACGGUACCUAAUCAGAAAGCCACGGCUAACUACGUGCCAGCAGCCGCGGUAAUACGUAGGUGGCAAGCGUUAUCCGGAAUUAUUGGGCGUAAAGCGCGCGUAGGCGGUUUCUUAAGUCUGAUGUGAAAGCCCACGGCUCAACCGUGGAGGGUCAUUGGAAACUGGGAAACUUGAGUGCAGAAGAGGAAAGUGGAAUUCCAUGUGUAGCGGUGAAAUGCGCAGAGAUAUGGAGGAACACCAGUGGCGAAGGCGACUUUCUGGUCUGUAACUGACGCUGAUGUGCGAAAGCGUGGGGAUCAAACAGGAUUAGAUACCCUGGUAGUCCACGCCGUAAACGAUGAGUGCUAAGUGUUAGGGGGUUUCCGCCCCUUAGUGCUGCAGCUAACGCAUUAAGCACUCCGCCUGGGGAGUACGACCGCAAGGUUGAAACUCANAGGAAUUGACGGGGACCCGCACAAGCGGUGGAGCAUGUGG
rnacentral:rRNA from 1 species